rnacentral:rRNA from 1 species
GACGAACGCUGGCGGCGUGCUUAACACAUGCAAGUCGAACGGAAAGGCCCUGCUUUCAGGGUACUCGAGUGGCGAACGGGUGAGUAACACGUGGGUGAUCUGCCCUGCACUUCGGGAUAAGCCUGGGAAACUGGGUCUAAUACCGGAGAGGAGCCAUUUUUCUGGUGAGUGUGGGAAGGUUUUUUGGGUGUGGGAUGAGCUCGCGGCCUAUCUGUUUGUUGGUGGGGUAAUGGCCUACCAAGGCGGCGACGGGUAGCCGGCCUGAGAGGGUGGACGGCCACAUUGGGACUGAGAUACGGCCCAGACUCCUACGGGAGGCAGCAGUGGGGAAUAUUGCACAAUGGGCGCAAGCCUGAUGCAGCGACGCCGCGGGGGGGAUGACGGGCUUCGGGUUGUAAACUCCUUUCGCUAGGGACGAAGCUUUUUGUGACGGUACCUAGAUAAGAAGCACCGGCUAACUACGUG